CUGCUGCCUCCCGUAGGAGUUUGGGCCGUGUCUCAGUCCCAAUGUGGCCGUUCACCCUCUCAGGCCGGCUACUGAUCGUCGCCUUGGUGGGCCGUUACCCCUCCAACCAGCUAAUCAGACGCGGGUCCAUCCUGUACCACCGGAGUUUUUCACACUGUACCAUGCGGUACUGUGCGCUUAUGCGGUUUUAGCACCUAUUUCUAAGUGUUAUCCCCCUGUACAGGGCAGGUUACCCACGCGUUACUCACCCGUCCGCCACUAAGAUAAACAGG
rnacentral:rRNA from 1 species